CCUACGGGGGGCAGCAGUGGGGAAUAUUGCACAAUGGGGGAAACCCUGAUGCAGCGACGCCGCGUGAGUGAAGAAGUAUUUCGGUACGUAAAGCUCUAUCAGCAGGGAAGAAAAUGACGGUACCUGACUAAGAAGCCCCGGCUAACUACGUGCCAGCAGCCGCGGUAAUACGUAGGGGGCAAGCGUUAUCCGGAUUUACUGGGUGUAAAGGGAGCGUAGACGGCAGCGCAAGUCUGAAGUGAAAUCCCAUGGCUUAACCAUGGAACUGCUUUGGAGACUGUGCAGCUAGAGUGCAGGAGAGGGAAGCGGAAUUCCUAGUGUAGCGGUGAAAUGCGUAGAUAUCAGGAGGAACACCAGUGGCGAAGGCGGCUUACUGGACUGUAACUGACGUUGAGGCUCGAAAGCGUGGGGAGCAAACAGGAUUAGAUACCCUUGUAGUC
rnacentral:rRNA from 1 species